GCCGAGGUGGCCUCGCUGCGGCAGAACAAUCGGCGGCUGCAGCUGCAGUCCAGCUCGGCGGCGCGGCAGCUGCGGCGCUUCGCCCGCUUCUUCCCGGGCAGCGCCCCGCCGGAAACGUGAGCGGAUCCACGGAAUUCCGGCAUUCUCCGGGAUUUUGGGAUCCCUUUGGGGUCCGGGAUUUUGGGAUUUCCCCCCUGGAACUGCAGAAUUCCCUGGAAUUGGGACGGAUCCAUCAGGAAUCCAUCAUUGGGAUCCAUCGGGAUCCUUCAGCUCCGGCGCUUCGCCCGCGCCUUCUCCAGCGCCGCCCCGCCGGAAACGUGAGCCGAUCCACGGAAUUCUGGGAUUUUCCAGGAUUUUAGGAUCCUCCGGGAUUUUGGGAUCCAGGAUUUUGGGAUUCUUUGGGAUUUCCCCCCUGGAAUUGGGACGUUCCCAUCGGAAUCGGCGCUUCCGGAGCUUUCCUGGAGCCCCAAGUGGAUCCUCGGGAAUUUUCCGGGAUUUUCCAGGAUUUUGGGAUUUGGGAUUUUGAGAUUUGGGAUCCUUCGGAAUCCAGAACUUUCCGUGGAAUUCCAGAACUUUCCAAGGGGCAUCCAGAACAUUCCAGAAGGGACCAAGAGGCUUCCAGGGGAUCCAGAACUUUCAGUGGAAUUUCCCAAAUUCCAGAACUUUCCAUGGAAUUCCCAAACUUCCCAGAACCUUCCAGGUGCUUCCAGAACUUUCCAUGGAAUUCCAGAACUUUUCAUGGAAUUCCGAACAUUCCAGGAGCUUCCAGGAAUUCCAGAACUUUCCAUGGAAUUCCAGAACCUUCCAGGUGCUUUCACAGGGAUUCCAGAACAUUCCAGAUCUUUCCAUGGGAUUCCCAAACAUUCCAGGAGCUUCCAGAACUUUCCAGGGGCUUCCAAAAACUCCAGACUUUUUCACAGAAUUCCAGAACUUUCCACGGAAUUCCCAAACCUUCCAUGGGCUUCCAAAAAUUCCUUGGAAUUCCGGAACCUUCCAGAACUUUCCAUGGAAUUCCAGAAAUUUUCACGGAACCUUCCAGAGGCUCUCAGGCCCCUCCCCCCCCCCCCCCGGAAUUCCCGGAUUUUUUGGGAAAAGGGGGGGGGGCCGGAAUUUCGGGAUGUUGAAAUAAUGAAUAAUAAUUAAUUAAUUAAUGAGGAAUAAUUAAUAAUAAUUAAGGAACUUCCAGGCGUGGCAAUCCAGGCACUUUGAUCCCCAAAAAAUUCCUUAAAAAUUCCUAAAAAAUUCCCUAAAAACUCCUGAAAUUUUCCCUAAAAAUUCCCUAAAAACCUGAAAUUUUCCCUAAAAAUUCCCAAAAAAUUCCCUAAAAAUUCCUGUAACUUUCCCCAAAAAUUCACCAAAAAAUUCCCUAAAAACUCCUGAAAUUUUCCCUAAAAAUUCCCAAAAAUUUCCCUAAAAACUCCUGAAAUUUUCCCUAAAAAAUCCCCCAAAAUUCCCUAAAAAUUCCUUUAAAAUUUCCCCAAAAAUCACUAAAAUUUCCUUUAAAAUUCCCUUAAAAUUCCCAAAAAAUUAGUUUUAGAAAUUUCUAAACAAUUCCCUAAAAAUUCCUUUUAAAUUCCCNNNNNNNNNNNNNNNNNNNNNNNNNNNNNNNNNNNNNNNNNNNNNNNNNNNNNNNNNNNNNNNNNNNNNNNNNNNNNNNNNNNNNNNNNNNNNNNNNNNNAACAAUUCCCUAAAAAUUCCUUUUAAAUUCCCAAAAAAUCACUAAAAAUUCCCACAAAUUUCCCUCGAAAAUCCUAAAAAAUUCCGAAAUAAUUCCAAAAAAUUGAUUUAAAAAUUCCUUAAAAAUUCCCAAAACAAUUCAUUACAAAUUCCUAAAAAUUCCUAAAAAAUCGCUAAAAUUAAUUUUGAAAUUCCCAAAAAAUUCAUUAAACGUUCAAAAAAAUUCCCUAAAAAAAAUCCCAAAAAGUUCCUUUAAAAUUCCCUAAAAAUUCCCCCCAAAAGUUCCUAAAAAUGCCAAAAAAUCCCUUUUAAUUUCCUAAAAAAUCUCUAAAAAAUUUCCCUAAAAUUCCCCAAAAAAUCCUACAAAAUUCCCCCAAAAAUUCCUGAAAUUUCCCUUUAAAAAUCCCUAAAAAUUCCCCCAAAAGUUCCUUUAAAAAUCCUAAAAAAUCCCUAAAAGUUCCCUAAAAAAUCCCCAAAAAUUCCCUAAAAAUCCCAAAAAAUUCCCUAAAAAAUCCCAAAAUUUCCCUAAAAAAAUCCCCCAAAAUUCCUAAAAUUUCCCUUAAAAAUCCCAAAAAAUUCCCCAAAAAUUCCCUAAAAAUCCAAAUAAAAUUCCCUAAAAAUUCCCA
rnacentral:lncRNA from 1 species